GAUGAACGCUGGCGGCGUGCCUAAUACAUGCAAGUCGAGCGAACGGACGAGAAGCUUGCUUCUCUGAUGUUAGCGGCGGACGGGUGAGUAACACGUGGAUAACCUACCUAUAAGACUGGGAUAACUUCGGGAAACCGGAGCUAAUACCGGAUAAUAUUUUGAACCGCAGGGUUCAAAAGUGAAAGACGGUCUUGCGGUCACUUAUAGAUGGAUCCGCGCUGCAUUAGCUAGUUGGUAAGGUAACGGCUUACCAAGGCAACGAUGCAUAGCCGACCUGAGAGGGUGGUCGGCCACACUGGAACUGGGACACGGUCCAGACUCCUACGGGAGGCAGCAGUAGGGAAUCUUCCGCAAUGGGCGAAAGCCUGACGGAGCAACGCCGCGUGAGUGAUGAAGGUCUUCGGAUCGUAAAACUCUGUUAUUAGGGAAGAACAUAUGUGUAAGUAACUGUGCACAUCUUGACGGUACCUAAUCAGAAAGCCCCGGCUAACUACGUG
rnacentral:rRNA from 1 species